rnacentral:rRNA from 1 species
CCUACGGGUGGCAGCAGUGAGGAAUAUUGGUCAAUGGGCGCAAGCCUGAACCAGCCAAGUCGCGUGAGGGAUGACGGCCCUACGGAUUGUAAACCUCUUUUGUCGGGGAGCAACGCCCGUCACGUGUGGCGGGAAGGAGAGUACCCGAAGAAAAAGCAUCGGCUAACUCCGUGCCAGCAGCCGCGGUAAUACGGAGGAUGCGAGCGUUAUCCGGAUUUAUUGGGUUUAAAGGGUGCGUAGGCGGAAGGUUAAGUCAGCGGUCAAAUGGCGGUGCUCAACACCGUCCUGCCGUUGAAACUGGUGUUCUUGAGUGGGCGAGAAGUAUGCGGAAUGCGUGGUGUAGCGGUGAAAUGCAUAGAUAUCACGCAGAACUCCGAUUGCGAAGGCAGCAUGCCGGCGCUCAACUGACGCUGAGGCACGAAAGCGUGGGGAUCGAACAGGAUUAGAUACCCCUGUAGUC